rnacentral:rRNA from 1 species
UACGGAGGGUGCAAGCGUUAUCCGGAUUUACUGGGUUUAAAGGGUGCGUAGGCGGGCUUUUAAGUCAGUGGUGAAAUCUCCGGGCUUAACCCGGAAACUGCCGUUGAUACUAUUUGUCUUGAAUAUUGUGGAGGUAAGCGGAAUAUGUCAUGUAGCGGUGAAAUGCCUAGAUAUGACAUAGAACACCAAUUGCGAAGGCAGCUUACUACACAAUCAUUGACACUGAGGCACGAAAGCGUGGGGAUCAAACAGG